CUAAAAUAGAAUUUAACAAAUGUAUCAGGCUGGGUAUACCAUGAACUUGCAAGUGUGAGUUGUUGCUGUGAUGGUAUGCCCCUUUGAGUGGGGCUUUUGAAACUUUGGAGAGUAAUCAUCGUAGUGGUUUCUAUCAUAGCUUUGGCAAAACUGUGAUCCAGUUUAAUGAAAUGCUGCUCAAGAUAUGGUGGAUAAAAAUGUUUGCAGUACCCUUUGUCAUUUUGCAAAAUAAGGGGUACUUUGUAGUCUAAAGCAUUCCUUAAACCCUCUGAGGGAGAAUAAAUAACUGCAAAGUACGGGAAGAAAGUCAGUUAUGGUUUGAAGUGAACACAUUAAGAGGUUAAAAACAAAGAAUUGGGAUGGAUGACUGGGAAGACAGCAAGAAUUAAGGAUGAAGUUAACGGAAAAAGCUGAUAAUUACUUUGUGGUGCCUAUUAGUGGGAGAAAGAAACAGGACCUGGUCUGCAUAAAUAAAACUCAGAGGUAUCAUGUUGGAUUCAGUCUCUAGAUGGCUGGAGAAACCUUGAGCUGACCGGAAGCAGCAGUGGAGACUUCCACUGGCAACCUUGUUGAUUUUCUACCACAUUGGCUGGGAGGUUACUCAGGAGUCAGAGCUUCUAUGAGCUGCUGUUGCAGUCAUGUCUUGCUAUGUGAAUGAUCCCAGAGCCAGUCGCUCCUCACUUCUGGGUGGCUGGUGCUGCUGGUCCUUACCACUUGGGGAACCAGUUGGGCCAUGUCAUGAGAAGGUGUGGGUGUUCCUGUUUCCAAGGAAGUCCUUGUAGGAAGACUGUGCUAGACCAGAGAUACAGAAAAAAGUACAGAAAGUGAACAUCUCUUAGUGGAUUACCUGUAGAUGGUGUUCUUUUAUAUGUUGCUGUUGUCCCUUACCAAAUAAUUAAUUAUGGAAUGCUAAUGCUAUGUGAGCUGGAGUUAUUCAGCCCUAGAACUACUGCAAGUCUCUCCCAUUCCUAUGAUUUUAUGAGGUUUGUCUAAAUACAGAGAAGAAAAGACUGAAGUUUCAAGUAUUACAGCUAGAGAAAAUAGGGGUUUUGCUUGUCAUAUCAGCUGAGGAGACCAGGCUAAAUGGAAUUGCAGCUAUAAGUGAGACCUGUUCUCAAGUGUCACAGUUAACAGAGCUGUUGACUGUAGAAUGGACUUUUGAGGUACCUGGUGUUGGUAUGACACAGUGAGGUGUGCCACAGGCUCUGUAUUGGAAACCACUUGCAUUCUCCACCUGGGCCUUGGAGUCAUUUUGGGCAAUCCUACACCAACAGUCUGUUCCUCUUUUCAUUGACACAGUACAGAAGUGUGGAAACUUGCCUGGGGGCUUAAUAUCUUCAUCAUGACAAAUUCCUUAGAAUAAAAUUGUAAGAAAGUAGGCAGCUGGAAUUUAGUACUGGAGAGAUGGUACUCAAGGGAAGAACAACUACAGCAUUUGUGCUUA